CAAUAGCGUAUAUUUAAGUUGUUGCAGUUAAAAAGCUCGUAGUUGGAUUUCGGUUAAGAGCGACCGGUCCGCCGUUUGGUGUGCACUGGUUGGUUUUAACUUCCUGUAGAGGACGUGCUCUGGGUUUAACGACCUGGACUCGGAGUCUACGUGGUUACUUUGAAAAAAUUAGAGUGUUCAAAGCGGGCUUACGCUUGAAUAUUUCAGCAUGGAAUAACACUAUAGGACUCCUGUCCUAUUUCGUUGGUCUCGGGACGGGAGUAAUGAUUAAGAGGAACAGUUGGGGGUAUUCGUAUUUCAUUGUCAGAGGUGAAAUUCUUGGAUUUAUGAAAGACGAACUUCUGCGAAAGCAUUUGCCAAGGAUGUUUUCAUUA
rnacentral:rRNA from 1 species